GAUGAAGAACGCAGCGAAAUGCGAUACUUGGUGUGAAUUGCAGAAUCCCGUGAACCAUCGAAUCUUUGAACGCAAGUUGCGCCCGAAGCCACUAGGCCGAGGGCACGCCUGCCUGGGCGUCACACGCCGUUGCCCCCCCAUCUACUCCUUCGGGAUUGCGGGGGGGCGGAUGAUGGCCUCCCGUGCGCCUAGCCGCGCGGUUGGCAUAAAUACCAAGUCCUCGGCGACGCACGCCACGACAAUCGGUGGUUGCGAAACCUCGGUUGCCCGUCGUGUGCGUUCGUCGCGCAUCGAGGGCUCGAAAAAAUGCUCGGCUCCGGCUGGGCUUUCAACGCGACCCCAGGUCAGGCGGGGUUACCCGCUGAAUUUAAGCAUAUCAAUAAGCGGAGGA
rnacentral:misc_RNA from 1 species